UUAUCUUCCUUUUUUUGAUAGUGGCCUUCAUAUAACAAAAGCUUUUCAUUAUCAUAAAGCCUAAAUUAUUUAUUUCUGAAAGGGUUUUGGCCCAGACAGGACAUUGUAGCUGGUGAAGCCUUAAAGGCGGAACCAAAGAGCUCCUAUCUCCCCCACCCCUAGGAAUUUACCUGUGAUGCCAUCUUCCCCACUCCUGGGAACUUACCUAUGGCACCAAACCUAGGACCAAUGGGCUACCCAUGCAUCCUUGAUGCCCCCUAAGGUUCCACCCCAAACCGAGGCUACUUACAUACCCCCGACGCCACGUGUCCACCAGAGAGAAAGCCAGACUCCAGUGGUCAGGGAGUGUCGGUUCUCUCUCUCCGUGUUCUCAAAAUAAAGGCCUCUUUUGUUUUAUACUUCUCAUCUUCUGGAUAUAAUCCUGUCAUUUGGGACCAUGAUUUGGUUGGCAGACGAUUGACUCCUGGGACACAGCCAGUUCCCUGUCGAGUCCCCAGCCGAUUCACGAACCAGAUUACAUUCACUUUUCCUCUCCUGGGAUCCACUUGACCUGUUGCCAGCCACCUGCACUCAACACCGGCCCAAUUAAUUUCAGGAGAUUCCGUCAAUGCCAAAUUCGUCACUGACUGACCUGCUCGGACUUGCUGCAGAAAAUUGAUGGGGCUCGGGGCUCACGGUCCCCACUCCGGUAACCUUGUCAGAGCCCUGCGUCUCACUGGAGGUUUCAGUCAAAAGUACGUGCAUUCACCAGUGAAAUUGUCCUGGCUAAAACACCUGGCACCAGCGUCUACCUGGGCAUCAACCAUCAUCCUGUUGACUCCCCUAGGCUCUAGUACAGUACCCUCUGCCAGUAGGAAGUAGUUAAAGAGAGAAAUCUUCGCCCCUUUUCAUAAUAGUCAUAAGAUGGGAUAUGAAAGGCUUUUGGCCCAGACAGAACACCGUAGCUGGUGAAGGCUUGAAGGCGGAACCAAAGAGCUCCUAAAUCCCCCACCCCUAGGAAUUUACCUGUGACGCCAUCUUCCUCGCUCCUGGAAACUUACCUAUGGCACCAAACCUAGGACCAAUGGGCUACCUAUGCAUCCCUGAUGCCCCCUAAGGUUCCACCCCAAACCAAGCUUACUUACAUACCCCUGACACCACAUGUCCGCCAGAGAGAAAGCUGGACUCCAGUGGUCAGGGCGUGUCGGUUCUCUCUCUCCGUGUUCUCAGAAUAAAGGUCUCUUUUGUUUUAUACUUCUCAUCUUCUGGAUAUAAUCCUAUCAAUUUCAUGAAUUGUGCCAUUAUAAUUUUUCAUAAAAAGCCAUCGCUAUACCCAAUCCUACCUAGAUUUACUCUAUAUUAUCUUCUAAAACUUUUUACAGUUUUGAAUAUUGUGUAUAGGUCUAUGAUAAUACUCUUAAUUUUUGUUAAAUUUGUAAGUUUUGUAUUUAGACUGAUUAUUGUGCAUGGAUGUCUGCUUGUUACAGCACCAUUUGUAGAACAAAAAUACCUUUUUUCAUUGCAUUGAUUUUGCUCCUUUGACAACCAUCAGUUGACUGUGUUUCAUACAGAUUCCUUCUGGGCUAUGUUAUCCAUUGAUUUAUUUGCCUGUUCUUUCGUCAAUACUCCUUAUCUUAAUUGCCAUAGCUUUUAAAGUCAGGUGAUGUCCAUCUCCUAACUUUGUUAGAGCUUUAUUGCUACUAUUAAGAACCAUUCAGAAAUGACUGUUUCUCAUGCAUGUCUUCCAGAUAUAGCUGACUUUUGGGUUUUGAGUCUUUGCAAGAUCCUUCCUCUUCAGUUUGUCAGAAAGGAAAAGGUGCUGCCUAUUUGGACUAUCCUCUGGUUCUUUGGCACUGGUCAUCUGGUAAUCUCAGCCUUGACAUAAGAACAAUUGAUUAGAACAGUUACAUUAUGUUGGCUAGUUGUACAGUAAGUAAUAUUAUUAUCAAACAGUCUAAAACAUGGCAAACUAUGGUAAUUGUUUAAUUUGCCACCUUUAACUCCAUGAACUAGAUUUGUGGUUAUAUAGCAAAAUUUAAAAUAAACCAAAAAACUGUCUACAGUAAAUAUGCCCUUAAUAUACUGAUGUUACUCUCAGUGGGGAAAAUUUAAAAGGGGUUCGAGAAAAAUAGAGAAAUAAAAGAAGAGAAAGAGAUUAGAAGCAAGUUGAAGGACCAAGGAAGAUCACACACACUUGGGGAAGUGAUGAAGAGAGGCGGGAAAGAGGAUGAAAUAAAAACAAUAUCAUAACAAAAGAACAACAAAAACCCCCAGAAACAAUUUUCACACUUAUAAAAAUAAGAACAAACUAUCAAGAAAAAAGUGAAAAAUAAAAGAGAAAUAAAAUGCCUACUUCAGGGUAUGUCCACAUCAGGCAUGGACUGCUGUCACUGGUAGAGUUGGGCAACAGAGUUCAGAUCCUGUUGACAAAUGCCAGUAGUAGAUUUACAGCAGCAUAGUGAACUCUCCCAGCAAGGCUGAACCUUUAGUUCCACUGUUUUCUGGUUGUGAGGCUAGAAUCAAAGUUGUUCAGCUGGCGAUACACAUGUGCCUCCUGCCAGCUUGAAAUGGGCUCUCUUGCUGACUUGAACUUUGCUUCUUGACCCCCUGUUGACCUGAACUCGGUUUCAUCCCACCCUGACACUGAGAGCUGCUGGAUGGAGUCAGCCCACAGCUUCUCUGAGGUCUGAGCUCAGUUGUCCCCUCUCUAAGAUGGCUACCAGCUCAUUGCUCUCUUCUAGCGGGACAUGAGCCUGUGAAUGACUCACAGCUAUUGCAGUCCACUGCAUCCACUGCUCCAUUCCACGGGUGCAUUUCUCUGUGGAGGCCUCUGGGGGUGCCAGCAGUCACCACGCAUCUGCAGUUUUGAGUUCCCCCUCUUUCACCAUGAACCAGGGCUCAGGGAGCAAGUGCUGUUUGCCACCUCCUCCUUCUGUGUUGAGAUCUCUCUUUCUCCUCUCCCUGUGGGCUUCAGUUCUGGCUUUAGAUCGUUGCUGGGUCCCAAAGACCCGCUUUCUUUUUUCUUGUCUUCCUGACAUUGCUGCAUUCCAGUAUCUGGACACCACAUCUCUGGAGGUGUUUCUCUGUUGCAUUCUACUCCAUCAUUCCCCGAAGUCCACAAACCUUUUGUAAGGAACACAGAAUAUUAUAAUAAGUGUGUACUGAUCCCCUAAAGUUUUAAAAAUAGAUCACUACCAACUACAGCCGUGUUUAAAUUCUUGGAAUUUAAUAUUUACUUAUUUUGUUAAAGUUUUUUUCUUAGUACCUUUUAAAGAUAAUAAUAUUCUAUGUAAAAGUCAGAUACUUGUUUGUACUGCCAUCAAACAUUGCAUCUAUUGACUAAUAAUCAAUAUACUUUUAACAUAUGUGAUAAUCACUUUGAUUCAUUAUUUAAUGAACAUUUAUUGAAUUGCUAUAAUAUACCAGAUGUUCAAGUUUUACUUAACCCUGAAUAAUUGCAUUCCUGAUCUGAAGUGAGAUACUUUCUGUAACUUUAUUUUUUGCACCAAAAAGUAAGUCUGAGGAUUCCUUCAAGACCUCCCUCUGAGGAAUCAGAUGUACUUUUGGUUUCUUGCUGACAUAAAUGAAUCUCUUUAUUUUUAAGUGAAACUACCUAUUUUGCUUAUAGUAAUCCUCUGCCUUUGAUUUACAAGGCAUUUGUGUUUUUGAGUUUUGAUUUCAUGAAACAUGGUGAUUAUAGUUAUGUAUGAAGUGACUUCUAUACCCUUAUCUUUUAAAAUAGCAUGUAUUGAAUAUUUGUCUCAUAAGUGGAGAUGUGAUGAAUAUUUCUUCAGUAAAUUGAUAAAUGUUUUGAUUGGUGGUAGAAUUUAUUAAAGGAAAAAACAGAGUGGAGCAUUUUUAGACAAUAAAUAAGGUCCUUAUCAACUCAAACUUGGUUUUCUCCUGUGGCUCAAAAGUCUCUUGUACAGUCUUUGCUGUGUUUUUGAAUUACGUACACUUUUCUGACUUGGAUAAAGUCUCUCUCCAUUUAUGUACUUCACUUAUGUAAAUAUCCCCCUCUGUUAAAAUCGUCUCACCUGAAAAAUAUUCCUCCAGAGCAGUUUCUAUUAUUCCUUUAGCCAUCACCUGACAGGUUAUGAUUUGGACCUAAGGUGCCUCCAAAGACUCAUGUGUUCACAAAGUGACUGGGUUAUGAGGACAUUUAGUUGUCUUGCUAGCUGGCAGUGGGUCACUAGGGGUAUGACUGGAAGAUGUCUCCCUCCUUGAAAUCCUUCUUUAUUCUGUGCUUUCUGGCUACCAUAAGGUGAGCAGCUCUCCUCUGUGUAAGACCAUCUUUAAUGCCUUUAUGCACGGGAGCCUGCCAAUGGUGGAUUGAAAGCAUGAGCCAAAAUAAGUAAGUUAUGGGUGUUGGAAUUUUUAUUUUAGCAUCAAGAAAGUGACUAAGACAACCUAUAAAGACUUUGGGUUAAAAAGAGAAGUAUUCAAAUCAUUUUCUCCAGGCUUUCAGUUUGUCUUUGAAUCAGUCAAAUGCCUUGCUGCUAUGACACAUACAGUUUACAAGAGGAGAGGCUUGUUUUUGCUCAUGGUUUCUAAGGUUUCAGUCCAUGGUCAGUAAGCUCCAAGGCAGGAACACUGUGAUGUAAGGAAAAGAACUUCCUAUUUCAUGGCAUCCGGGAAGCAGAGAGCAGAAUAAUGAGCCUAAAAGGGAGGAGUCAGGAACAGAUAAAAUCUCCUGAUUCACAUUCCCAUGACCCAUUUUUAUCAACUAGACCCCACUUCAUGAUAGACCAUUCAGUUAUAAACUCAUCAGUGGAUGAAACCAUUGAUGAGAUUAUUGCCUUUGCAACCCAAUCACCUCCCCAAGAAUGUCUUAAUCCAAACAAGUUGACAAUCAGCUGUUUACUAACUUUUUCAAAGGGAAAGUAUGAUGCGGUCAUUACAGGAAGUGGACUCUUUUCCUCUCUAUAUUUUAGAUAAGUAUAUCUCUUAAAAAUUCCAAACCAAAUCAUUUCAGUAAGCAAGCAAAGUGUUAUAUAAAAGAGUUUGUUUCCCCUAAGUGAAAGCCUAAGUCAGUUCACUGGGGAGCAAAGAGGUUCCUGUAUCCACUCUGCAGAUGUACUGAUUGGGCUUUAACUGUUUAAACAAUGUGAUUUUAGGUUACUAAAGAUACCCAAGAUAAAAGAUCUUUAUGGUUUCCCUUUUUAAAAAUCAGUCAUUUGUAACUUCACUGUCCUUUUAAUAUUGAAUACACAUUUUGAAAUUGAUAGUGUUCUGCUUCAUAAGAUAAUUUAUGCCAUUUUAUUUAAUGACUGCAGAGUGAUUUAAUAGUUUUCUGGUUAAGAGAUAUAGAAAGAUCUAAAUACAGUCCCUAGGAAUGUUGAUAAAAGGACAGAAUUACUUUGAAGUCAAUGUAAAUUUUGAGACAUUGGAAUUGAGAUUCUUAAGUAAAAGGGAAGAAUGGAAAUAAAAAUUGUUUAUACCUUUGGAGUUAGAGCUAUAAUUUUGUAUACCUGAAAAAGAUAGGAAAGAUAAUUACAACAAAUAGUUGAACUUAAAGGAGGUUUUAGGAACUUAAAAGCUUAAUAUAAGGCACUAGAUGUUGGAAAAUAAGAAGUAAUUGUACCACUGAGAUACCCGUUUAGUUUAGCUAAAACUCAGUAAGUAAGUUUUAGUCACACUACUCAAAUGUUCCAAAAUGGCUUUUGGCUAACCCCCAAGUUUCUAAAUGAACUAGCCUAGUCAGGCCUUUCAACCCACUUAGAACUGAGAUUCUCUGGUAAGGAAUCAAGGAAUUAAAACAAAGUUUAUGCUCCUAGCUUUUAAAAAAGGAAUCAGCUCUCUGCCUCCUUACUAUCUUGGUAAGCAUUUUCCUUAUCUAGCCCUUACCCUUCUCCUUAUCUUGUCCCUUGGAGCUAUGUUACUCCUGUGACUUGUCCUGUGCAUUUUGAAAGCAACCUUUUUGGGACUCCUUGACUACUAACUGCUUUUUCCCCAGAAUUCUGGUUUUGGUUUCCCCUUUGCCUUAACAAUCUGUUCUUUGAAAAAUUUCAUGUUGCUAAGAGACUCAAUGUCAAGUUUCAUUGCCCUAGCCAAGAGCAAAUCCCACAGAUCACAAGUUUACUAUGAGGAAAGGAAUUUCAACAUGGUGAUUAUGCAAGCAACCUGAAGAAACAGAUGAAAGGUUAACCUGAGCAGAGCAAGAGCUCAGACACUCAUGGAAAAGCAGACAGACAGCAUUCCCCACUUUGGCACUGAUGGUAGCUAGCAGGGCUAAAUAUUUAACAUUAAGCCUAAGUCAGUUCACUGGGGAGCAGAGAGGUUCUUGUAUCCACUCUGCAGAUGUAUUGAUUGGGCUUUAACUGUUUAAUAAAUGAAUCUAGAAAGAGAAGGGUCAGGACAGCAUAUCUCUAUGAUAAGAAAGUCCAAACAUCUGCCAAUGUGAAAAUAAAUGACUGUCUUCGCUGCAGAAUAGAAAGGAAGUGAAAAAAGGAACUGUGGUUAUUAAUAAAAGAUCAGAAAUCUUGCCUACAUAUUAUUCUUUUUUACUCUUUUCUUUGAUUCUUCAUCCCCAAGAAACAAGGCUAAAUGUGUUUCUUCAAUGAAACACUGAAUAUAGCACAGUAGACCCAGGUUUACAUUUUGGCACCACAUCACCAUACCAUCUUCCAAAAUUUUGCCAUCAUCCUAAUCUCUGUCGUCCAAAUUUUUAAAAAUGAGGUGAUAUACAAAUAUUUAUCUCAUAGUAUUGUUAAGCAAAAUAGCAGAGGUGGCUAUUACGGCUUUGCGUCAGGAUGCUUGCCCUCCCUUCUUCAAGGUGCUCAUCAGUCUUGUUUUUUCCCACUUUUUCUGAGCCCCAGCUCGCUCUGCAGAGCAGGUUUCUCCCCUGCUUUUCACUUUUACUUUCUCAAAUAAGCUAAGCCCCUGCUUUUUGCUUACUUUGUUCAAUUCUUUGUUUGAGAUAAGAAGAAUCUAGAAUCUAACUCCAGAUGGACAGGUGAGCAACCAGGAACCUGGUCACAUUUAAUUGGUGAGCCACAUUUAAGAGAAGGCCGCCUGAUAACACAUGUGUAUGUGCCAAAACAUGUAUAUGCUCUGUCUUUUUUUUUUUUUUUUUUUUUUUUUUUCGUCUUUUUCCUUUUUAUCGGUACCGGGGAUCGAACUCAUGACUGCCUGCUUUCAAGGCAGGCGCUUAUGCCGCUGAGCUAAACCCCCAGCCCUUAGAUGUAUAUGCUUUGUCAUGCAUGCAUGUUUUAUAAGGAAUGAGCAUAAUGCUCAGAUAUCAUUUGUGUGUGUUUGUGUGUGAAUACAGAAUGUGUAAAAAUGAAAUAUUUACAAUGCACUUAAAAGACAAUAUUUGGACCUCUGGGUUUGCAGACAGCAAUAGAAGACUAGAUUGUUAUCAUAUGGGAGGUUUAUUGGAAACAUCAGUGGCACCAUCUCUGAGGUCAUUUCCAAGGUAAUUCUGUUUCUAAAAAUUCAGAUGUACAAUAAGAUUGAAGUUUGUUUUUUAAUAAAUGGACUUCUUAUAAAAUCCUUACUUAUUCUCAGAUGCUAAAAAUAAAAAACUGUAUGCCUGAAAAACUUUAUGCUACAGUACACAAAAUUAUGCUUCUCCUAAUUGCUUCGUCUGUCCUUCAAACCGCAAAGUCAAAUCUAACUGCACAGGAAAGGAAAAUGUUCACAGACUUAUGAUAACUAAACUUAGUCAAAGAGGCAUAACACUGAAAGCUAAAGAUCAUCUUUGAUUAUUUAGUUUAUUGUCAUUAUUAUUUACUCUCUUGUGGUUGUUUAAAAAUUUAUGUCAUAAAAAGGUAAAAAGAAAUUAUGCAAUGUAUUGAAAAAUUUCCAUUUUCCCCACUUUACUUUUCAUUAUUUAAUUUCUUUCUCUACUUUCUUUCUCCCAUAUUUCUUUCGUUCAAGUAUAAAACUUUGAAAAUAUGAAUUCUGGUAGGAAAUGCAAUAAGAUUAUAUCAAAAAGAAAUGUUUGUCUUUAAAUGAGGUAGAAGGAUAUUCUGUUUAGAGCCAUGAACUAUCUACUUUGUCUGGGAUUUGCCUGCAUAGACAUGUAGAGAAAUGUGAUAAAGAAAUGUAACUGUUAGAGAAAAAGCAAAGAAAACUUGGUCAGGAAUUAGCAAUGUAACAGAAAGGCUGCCAGCAGUGAGGAAAGCCAACUCAAGAGAGAGGUCACGAGAGCUGAAACUAGCCAUGCGUGUCAAAUGGACGUGGUCAUUCAAAUCCUUUGGGGUUCUAUCUCUCUGGAACUUGUUGCAGUUCUGUCUAUGUAACAACAGGAUUUAAGGCUUGCUUUGUUGGAUUUCAGUCUUGCUUUGGAAGAUUCUUGUCUCCCUAUUUCUUCCAUUUGGAACAGAAUUUUUUUUUUCUUUUUGAGGAAGAAGGCCACUGUAUUUUGCUUGAAAUUGCGUAAAACACUUUGGAUGUCUUAACAAUAUCAAUUCUUUCAAUGUAUAAAUAUGAGAUACCUUUCCUUUUGUGAUAUUUAUUCUUUUCAAUACUUUUUAAAUCAAAGACUUGUGGCUUUUUAUUGUAGAGGUCAUGUGCUAUAAGAUUCAGUUUGCUAGUAUUAUGUUGAAUUUUUCCUUUAUUCAUCAGGGACAUUGGUUUUUAAUUUUCUUUUCUUUUUUGUAUUGUCCUUGACUGGUUUUGGUAUCCGAGUAAGAUUAGCUUUAAAAAAUGAGUUUGGGAAACUUUCUUUUUUUUCACAACUUUUUGGAAUAAUUUGAGAAUUGUUAGUUCUUCCUUAAAAACUCGAUAAAUUCAGCAGUGAAGCUAUCUGUCCUAGACUUUUCUCUCCUGGGAAAUUUUUAUUACUGACUUAGUCUUUUUACAUGCUACUAGCCUAGUAAGGUUUUGUAUGUCUUAAUAGUUGAAUAAAUUUACUGUGUUCAGAAAUUUAUCCAUUUCUUUUAGAUUUCCAGCUUGGUGAUGUACUGUGGUUUAUAAUACUGUUUAGUAAUCCCUUGUAUUUGUGGGGUAUCAAUUUUAAUGCUUCCUUUUUUAAAUCUCUGAGUUCAUUUAUUUGAGCUUUUUGCUUUUUGGUGGUAAUUUAGAUAAAGUUUUUUUUUAAUUUAAUGUGUUUUUUAGGAAAGUGAAUUUUAUUGAUUUUUCGGCUGUUAUCUCUUUCUAUCCUGAACUCAGUUAUUUCCUAACACUGAUUUUCUAUUUGGUGAUUUAUUAUUUUUCUAUUUCACUGAAUUGAAUAAUUAAGUUUUUUAUUUGAAAUCUUUUAAUUUUUUUAUUUUGAAGAGAAGAAAUCAAGAAUGAAGAAGCAAACAAAUAAUUAAAAAACAGCACCAAAAGCAAAGCCACAACAGCAACAAUACAAUAGUGAGACAGGAUUUCAAAACAAGAUGAUCGCAAUUUAACCGUGGUUAUUAUAUUGUAUAAUAUUAUCCUUAAAGUAAUUGUUCAGGCUACCAGAUACAGGUAUGCAAGACUGAUCAAACAAUAUAAUUUCCUUUUGAUCCGUUUCUUGAAAUCUUUUAAUUUUUUGAUGAGGAAACAUUGCUGUAAUUUUCCCUUUGGUACUGCUUUUGUUGUACCCCAUAGACUUUUGUAUGUUGCACUUCCUUUUUAGUUUGU